AUGGCCCUACCGAUGCACUUUCUGUCAGUCUUCCCUCUACCGGUUUGGGCGCUCAAGAUGAUUGACAGAAGAUGUAGAGGUUUUCUGUGGAAAGGAGAGGAGGACAUCAAUGGAGGGCAUUGUUUGGUCCCAUGGGCCAGAGUUUGCAGACCAAAAGAAUGGGGCGGGCUCGGCCUUCUCAAUCUGAAGAAUUUUGGGACUGCACUGAGAUGCCGUUGGCUUUGGCUGGGCUGGAGACAAGGGGAUCGACCAUGGCAAAUGCUUCCGGAUCAGAAGGACAAGGAUGCAACUGCUAUGUUCGAUGCGGCAUGCCGGGUUGUGCUGGGGAAUGGUGCGACUGCAAGAUUCUGGACUGUCAGUUAAAGAUGCUUUGCAAAUCGUAGGUGGAUCAAGGACAUCAGAGGUGGUCUGACAACACAUGCCUUGGCGCAAUACAUAUCGGUUUGGGAUAUUGCUCAUGCCACUACCUUAUCUGCUAUAACGGAGGAUCACCUCGUUUGGAAGUUGACAGAGCAUCAUCAGUUCACGGUGAACCGCGCAUAUAGGAUGUUCUUCACGGCCGGAGUCAGUUUUGCCUGUAACAAACCUAUAUGGAAGUCAAAAGCCCCUGCUCGCUGCAAGUUUUUCAUGUGGCUGGUUAUACAGAGGAAGUGUCUGACGGCGGAUAACCUCCAGCGACGCGGGUGGCCGUCCAAUGACCACUGUCCGCUCUGCUUAAUGUUUCCCGAGGACUGCACACAUUUGUUUCUGCUCUGCCGUUUCACGCAACAGCUCUGGACGGCGUUCUAGCAAUGGUCGGGCGUCAGUUUCCCAAUGCCAGACAGCAGUUCUGGAAGCACCGAGGUCUGGUGGCUGGAGGCGAGAAGGGCUAUUCCGAAGCAUGCGCGCCGGAACUUCGACACCAUUGUCAUCCUCAUGCACUGGAGGGUCUGGAAGGAGCGGAACGCUAGAAUUUUUCAGCAAACUGCGUGUGAUAUUGAUCGAGUCCUAGACCUCAUCAGAGAGGACAUAGGAGUAUGGAGGUUGGCAGGGUGUGUGUCCGAUCUGGGGAGCUAG
rnacentral:rRNA from 1 species